rnacentral:tRNA from 1 species
GUAGACGUUAGCUCAGUGGUUAGAGCACAAGCCUCUGGCUCUCGGGUCCGAGAGUUCGAGUCCCGUCGUCUACU